AAGACCUUACUCUUAGGGAUCAUUUCUAUAGUAAGUGUCGCCAGGACGUCAGGUUAAACUGACGAGACCCAAACCCACGAUGAGGAGACAGAGCAUUCCUUUCUGAGCGCGAAGCGGGUUACGGCUGUUCUCUCACGGGAACUCGGCUGAAGCCAUUGAUGACCGUUCCCUUCCCCCAUAAGUGGGGAAGUGGAGGAAAGGAAUGCAUUCUGAGUGGU